rnacentral:tRNA from 1 species
GGCCCGUUGGUCAAGCGGUUAAGACACCGCCCUUUCACGGCGGGAACACGGGUUCGAAUCCCGUACGGGUCA